rnacentral:rRNA from 1 species
UACGUAGAGUGCGAGCAUUAUCCGGAUUUACUGGGCGUAAAGCGUCCGUCGGUGACUUGGUAAGUUCUUUGUCCAAGCCUGGAGCUUAACUUCAGAAAGGCAGAGAAAACUACCAAGAUUGAGUAUGUUCGGGGAACCUGGAAUUCUCGGUGGAGGGGUGAAAUCCGUAGAUAUCGAGAGGAACGCCAAGCGCGAAGGCUGGGUUCUAGGACAUUACUGACACUCAGGGACGAAAGCUAGGGGAGCAAAAGGG